rnacentral:lncRNA from 1 species
GGCAUCCCAGUCACAAAACCUGAAGGGCACACUCGAGAUUGAAACAUGCCUUUGAAAAGUUCAAUGAAUCUCAAAGAUCUAGGAGUUUCAAAACCAAUUAAAACCUAAUAAUACAUUUCGUUUAUCUUGGUGGAAAUUGGUGAAUCGUCAUUCACCUACCUUCAAAUAUUUUAUAGCUUGGAUUACGGCAUACCUCUUCUAAGUUAUAAAAUAGUUUGUUGGGUCCUAGCCUUAAUAUUUCAUAUUGGGUGUCAUAUUAAGGACUUUAAAUCAACUAUCUUGAAUAUCUCCCAAAAGAUGUCUGGUUUAGACACCUAUGAUCUUCCCAAAUCUCUUGAAACAAGGUUUCCUAAUGAAGAUGAUGUCCCAUGGAUAUCAUACUUCUUUCUCCUCCUCCAACUAUUCUCCCUAACCCACAAGUUCUUGAAAAGUUUAAGGUCACUCAAGCCCUAUUGGCAAGGCAAGGUCUAGGUGUGAUCACAUCUUGGAGAUGUAGUCACAUAUUGACAAGCCGGGAGAGUUGGGUGUCAAAGUCUUGAGAAAGUUGGUGGUUCAAUCACUUUCUAAGUCACAUAGUGAGUUCCUUUGGGACACCUAUGAAACAGACUAUGACAAGACCCUUAAUGAUCUUAUCUAUUUGCUAAGAUCAACUUCCUAAAACUUUAUGGACAUUGACAAUGAUGACAUUGGAUAUCCAGUAAAGCAUUCUCUUCCCAAUGGAAAGGGAUCGGCCAUAGUCAACUCGGUUGACCAAAUGGUAAAGAGAAAAGCUAAGUCUGUGAUAGUCCCGUGUACCAUUAUCAAAGGGUCCAUAUGUUUAUAUUGCCAAAGGAAGGGGCAUUGGUUGCGAAGCUGCCAAAUUUACCUAAGGAUGUUAAAGUCAAUAAGUUUGACUCUACUUCAGGUAAAGUCCACUAUCUAACUCUGUUAAGUUUCUAUUCUGAGAUUCUUGAUACAUGAUGUGACUGGGUCACAUGGUGAUGUUUUAAGAAUCAAAGAAAAGUGAAGAAACUUAAAGAAAGAAUAUGCUGAAUCUGAUGGCGUAGAUGGAUUUCUAUCGCAUAGUUUGAAGAUCGGAUUCUUGAGCUACUUCUUAGGAGUUAUGAGAUAUUGCUUAGGAAUAGAUAACAACAAGUUUUCAUAUGGAUUGUAAGGAUAAGUUUUUCCGCAAAGUUUUAAAAUAAAAGAAAAUUUUUUUGAUUUUAUUUAUUUUAAAAUAUCCUUACAAUGGCUUUUGAGGAAAAAUUGUUGCUUAUAUGAUUCCAUUAAGAGCAAGAGUGGAAAUAUGAAAUUGAUUCUUUCAUUUGUGGUAAUGUCUAGAUUUACCAAAUAAGGAAAGAUUCUCAUCACCCAAGUUUCAAUUGGACCGGAACUUGGAAUCAUGCAAGUUGUAUAGCAUGAUGAAUGAGAACUUUCAAGUUUUGGAAAAUUAAGACUAAUUACUUGUUCACAUGGAUGUGUGAGUCAAGUAAAGGACUAAGGGAUCGAGUACACAUUCUUGUGCACUGAUUAAGUCCACCACAAAAGAUUGAUAAGACUAUUCGUCAUAGUUUACUAAAGCUCAGUAAAUAUGAUUAUACUUACAAGCUUAAGUGUAACUCUGAGACAUUGGAAAAGGUUCCAAUGUAUGGCAGAGCGAAUAAGAAGAAUCAAAUUAGGCAGAAGGAUAAAAGUUUCUCAUAUCUGAAAAGAUGGGAGAGUACUUUAGUAUCAGUUUUGUGAUCAUCUUAAUGAUUAAGAAACCAUAUCAAAAUUAGUUCUCUAAGGAAAUCUUAGUGCAUUCUUAUGACUAAGAAGAGGAACUUGAAUUGUUGAAAUGGUUAAAUCAAGAAGAUGAGUCAUACUUCGUUCCAAUACAAGUCUUAGAGUCAUACUCCAAGAUUGUCAUUUGAGUGACAUGUCUUAAAGAAGGUUUAAAACACUUGUCAAAUGUAAGAGUAAAAGUUUUCUACUCUUGUACAUUUGAAAUUGGUAAGUUGUGAUGUUUUGGAUAAAACAAAGACCAACUUAGGCCAAUUGGGUAAAGUGUUUUUCUUGAUUAGAAUCCGCACUAUCUCUUGGAUGUUUGACAAGGGAGUCUUAUAUGUCAAGAGGACAGUGGGAGUCUUAAAGGUCUUGAAAGUCUCAAGAAAUAAUCAAGAAUAAAACCUGAAGUUCUUCACUAGCACACGACUUGAGGUUUAUAACCUAUCGUGUUGACAUAUCUGUGCCCAUUCCAGUUAAAGUUGGCUUUGCAUAUGAGUUCUUAGAGUUCUCAGUUUGUUGCAUAACAACUUGGAAGCAAUGGCAGGCCCUUGAGCUGCCAGGUGGCAAGAAGUUAAGAUUGAGUUCAAUCCAUAUGGUUUUGGAUUUGUCAUUAUCUUUGUCUUGUGAUUAUGGUUUGACAAAUUCAUAUGGGUAGGAACUCAUACACCAUAUAAAUCUAAGUGUCAUAAGGUUUCUCUCCGAUUCAUGAAAAUGAUGGUGAGGAAACGCUUUCACUAAGUAGAUUUUACGAAGAUAUCAAUUGUGUUAUUUGCAUUUUCAAAAGUCGUUAGUGGAGCGCGUGUGGUUAACCGGCACACUAACAUGGACUUGUGAGAAAUGGCAAAUGCCUAAGCAAUUGAGACCAUGAUUACGGUAUCCCUUUUCAUGGUUCUUGAAAUUGCUUAGACACACAGGUGAGCUAUCUACGGAAAGGGUGUAUGAAUCUAAAUUUCAGACUGUCCAGCUGAUUUCUGAGUACAUGUCAAAGCUAGUGGGAGCAUAAGUGUUAUGCUAAUAAUCAUCAUGUUAGUGGGAGCAUGAUAAUUAUGAUAAGUAUUGCAAGUUAGCAAUGUUAAUUAUAGAAAACAAAAGUUUCAAUUGGGAAAAAGUUGUUUUGCUAUAAUUAAGGGAGAGGAAAUUAUGCUUCAUCUCAAAUCUAUAAGCUUAGAUCGUGAGGUUUUAAUCAUUUAGUCAAGGAUAUAUAUGAAUUUCAUGUUGGAAUGGCUCAACAUAAGGAAAUUCUGUAUAUGGGUCCAUUAUUUGCGUUCUAAAAUUCGAUUAUGAUUACGGCAUCCCUUUUCAUAAUCUGAAUUAUGAGAACUUGGCAAAUUGAAAUGGAAAUAUUAUAGCAAAAGACUGGUUUAGUCUUUAUGUAAGACAUCAUGAAUCGUGUCCCAUAUGCUUCGGAUAUAGGAUCGAUUACAUGUGCUAUAUUCAUCCGUUCUAAAAUUUUCCAAAUGCCUGGGGCAUUAAGAAGGGAAAAGGUUUAGAACUGGAUAUGACUAAAAGGAUUAAACAAUUGUCGAGGACAAUCUAAGGUUUACCAAAGAUUGGUUACUCAAGGACAAUUGGAAGUAUAGUGAUAAUUCUGGAAGGACCAUAUUGACAUAAUCUGUAAGGAGGCAACUCUUGUUCAGAAGUGAUAGUCAAAAUGGAAUCUGGAAAUGUUUCAAAGUUAGAAUUUUCAAUCUGUGUAAGAUUAAGGAAACUUAAUGCAAGAAGGAUAUUUCCAAGGAGUUGAUCUCCUUUGGAAUACUCUGUAAUGAUUGUUGCCAAGUCUUUGUGACUUUGUGCAUAAUCAUUACAAGAGGAUCAAUGCAUAUAAGUUUAGAAUCUAACAGAUUUCAGUAAAUGGCAUGAAUUUGGAAUUCUUGCAUUUGCAGUAAGGAUUUGGGAGUGUGAAAAGAGAAUCAUUGAAGUUAUGUUCAAUUGAUCUAGUUCACAAAGUAAAGAUCAUAGACAAACAUAGUAUGCAUACUUGGUGUGUGGCAUGACUAGUGUUUAAGAAAACAUAGUGUACAUGCUUGGAGCAUGGGACAACUAUUGUUUUAAAUUCAAGAAUAAAGUUGAUAGCUGAAACAGUAUACAAUGAAUAAUGUGUAAUCAUAUGGUGAUAAAUAAAAGGUGUUUUAUUUAUGUUCAAAGGGUUGAUACCAUAUUGGAUUCAAUUAUUAUUGUGUUUCAUUUUGCAUGUUUUGACUUCCCGAAUAAACUGGGUUAUUCUUCCGGAAUGACUAAGUUAUUCAAACCAUCCACAGUCGGUCAUAUGUUGGAAGUAGAUAUGAAUUAAGACUGUCAUGGGUUGGCUUGUAGAGGUCUAAGGUGUUGGACAAAGGGCUACAACACUCAUGAGUGCUCAUAAGUUCUGAGUAUUGGAUUCAACCCGCGCUCAUUGGAAUCACUUCAUGGAUUUUAUCACGAGUGAUCAUGAGACGAUAAUAUCUUAUAUUCUUCAAACCUAGAGAUAUGAGUUGUUACUAUGAGUUGAUAGUACAUUGAUUGCACGAAAACGCAUUUGGUAACUCGGUGCUAUAAAACGUGCCUUUGUGUAUGAUUCAACAAGUAGUAGAACAAGCCAUAUGAGUCGAAGUUUAUCCAUUCCUUUUACCUUCGGGAUAAAAGCGAUAUCUGUGGGCCCCUCGAUGAUUUGAUGAUGACAAAUGGAAGUGCUCGGCCGGGCCAGGACUGAUUUGAUUUGUUCAAUUAGUCAGUCGUCAUAAAUCGGAAAUCGGGAAACAACAAAUGGACAGAGAGAAUGAUUAUAAUCCAUGUCUCAGUCCAUAUGAUAUCUAGAAUGGAGGAAUAUAUGAUCCCUUAUCUAAUGGACAAGUCAUUGACAAAGGUCAGAGUUCAUCUACAAGGUCAGAGUUCGACAGAAGCUUUUGAGAGCUACGAUUGCCAGUUGGUUCCUGAAGUCAUACGCAAUAAUAGUUUUAGACUUAUCCAAGUGGGAGACUGUUGGAUUAAUGUCUAAGUCCAUAACUAUAAUUGGUAAGACUUGACCCGACCCGGCAUGGUCCAUUUGGGUUGCAUACCAUCAUGCACUUGGAUAGACUAUAAUGAGAGAAAUAAGACACUUAUGGUUAUUAAUAUAUUAUAAGUUCUAGUAUAUUAAUAAUAAGAAUAAUAAGAUUAUUUAAUUAGUAUUGAUCAAGAAUUAAUCUAGGAUUAAUUAAGUGAUCAAAAGAAGACUAAUUAAAUAUAUGGGUUGAUUGUGUAAAUCAUCCAUACUUGUAUAGUGGGCUAAUGCUCCAUGGAUAAUCAAGUUGGGCUAAAACCCAUAGGAUGGUCCAUGGAUGCUCCAUGGUGUAUUUGUACCCAUGGAUCCAAGGAAAUGGAAAGCCAUGACAAUUAAGAGUUUACCCUAAUUGUGUAACUAUAUAAGCAUCUUAUUAUUGAGGAAAAAUCGGCCACUAGUGAUAGUGAAGAAAGGGCUAGCCGAUUUUGAAGAGUGUAGAAUUCUCUCAAGUCAUUCCAAGUGUUUUGAUGAUUGUGAUUCCAUUUGAGGUGUCACACUUGGGGCACUAGGCACUCAAGCUUCAUGAAGACUUUCUACAUCAAAGAGGUAUGUAUUCUAUCUUGUUAUAGUCAUUGUUUUGUAUGCUAGAUUAGGAUAAUACCUUGGAAGUUCUUAUUUGCAUGUAUAAUAGAGAAAACAUAGAUCCAAGGUAUUUAGGGUUGCAUGUACACUUAGGAGUGUUAGAAUGCUCAAAACCCAACAGUGGUAUCAGAGCCUAGGCUUGUUUUCUUGUUAUACCUGCAAUAGAAGCUGAAAAAACGAAUCUGGUGCUGUCUGGCCAUCAGACUCGGCGAGUCCAUCAGGAGACUCGACGAGUCCAUGCCUAAAAAGUGAUGAAUUCGAUCCAACUCGCCGAGUUUGUUCAUGCACUCGACGAGUUGGACCCCCAGACAGCAUAUUUUCGAGUUUUUUGGCUAGAAAUGGACUAGGAACAUUACCCUAAGUUGUUUUUGAACUUAUAAACUUGUUUUUGAUGUGGUAAUGUUCAUGCUAAUCCAUUUUCAAAGAUAAUUGUCAAUAGAUUCAUGUUUUGUAUUAGUUUAAGGUUUAGACUAAUUACAUGAAAAAGUUUGAUUUGAAUUAUCUUGUUCUUAUGAGUUGCUUAGAUUAAUAGAAAUGUUGAGUGAAAUAGUUGUUUUCAAUCCAUUUUAAUCUAAGAGUUGAGUAUAAAAUGUGUUUGUGUAACUUGUCCUCAAGUUACAUGAAGAGUCACAUUAAAGACUCAUAAAACUCAUAAAAGUUGGCAAUGGUUACAAAAUGAAGAGUCUUGUGUCAUUGAAUAAUUUUUUUUGACUCCAUAACUUGUCCUCAAGUUAUGGAAGUUCAAGAGUCACUUCAUUAAAGAAAAAUAUGUAACCAUAAUUAAAUCCAUAAGUUAUAAAAUAAAGAAAAAGUUAGUUCUUUUAUUAGUUUAAAGUCUUCCAUAACUUGUCCUCAAGUUAUGGAACUUGAAGAGUUUUUGGAUUAAAACUACUUUAAACACAUAAGUUAUGGAAUUAAUUAGUUUUGAAUAGUUUCAAAACUUGCCCUCAAGUUUUGGAAUUUGAAAAGUUUUCAAGUAUGAAUACUUUAAUUCCAAGUUAGCCCUUAGAAUUUUAAAAGUUAAAAUUCAACCCUUAUACUUUAUAAUAUUAUAAGUUAAUAAUAUAUAUAUGUAUAAGAGUAAAGUCAGUCUUACCGCUAGUACGCCUCAUUCACGAAGCCGGUCUAUAAGGUGGGUAUAAGGUUGUUGCCUAUAAAAUGGCAACUUAAUGGGUGUCCACUCUCACCCACCGCUUGCUUGACUGGUGGAGGGUCGUUAGCCGAACGGGUUUGACAGGACUAGAAUUCUCCCUUCAUUAAAAGUAUUAAUGAUAAUACUAAGUAACUAAACUCUUAAUAAUACCCAAUCUUAGUUACUUAGGAAAAAUGUGAAUAAGGUGCUAAUCCAUGAAAUUACACUUUACACUUUGUCUAAGUCGUUAGUGGAGCGUGUGUGGUUAACCGGCACACUAACUUGGACUUAACAAGGUAGGUAAAGGGUGACUUAAUAUUUAUCAUAGUAUCGAUGGAGCGUGUGUGGUUAACCGGCACAUCGAUUGAGGGGUAAUUUAUUAAGGGUACCAAGUGAUUUGCAUGGUUACUUCACACCUUGUUUUGUGAUCCUCGGCAUCCCAGUCACAAAACCUGAAGGGCACACUCGAGAUUGAAACAUGCCUUUGAAAAGUUCAAUGAAUCUCAAAGAUCUAGGAGUUUCAAAACCAAUUAAAACCUAAUAAUACAUUUCGUUUAUCUUGGUGGAAAUUGGUGAAUCGUCAUUCACCUACCUUCAAAUAUUUUAUAGCUUGGAUUACGGCAUACCUCUUCUAAGUUAUAAAAUAGUUUGUUGGGUCCUAGCCUUAAUAUUUCAUAUUGGGUGUCAUAUUAAGGACUUUAAAUCAACUAUCUUGAAUAUCUCCCAAAAGAUGUCUGGUUUAGACACCUAUGAUCUUCCCAAAUCUCUUGAAACAAGGUUUCCUAAUGAAGAUGAUGUCCCAUGGAUAUCAUACUUCUUCACCUCUUCAAAUUAUUCUCCCUAACCCACAAGUUCUUGAAAAGUUUAAGGUCACUCAGGCCCUAUUAGCAAGGCAAGGUCUAGGUGUGGUCACAUCUUGGAGAUGUAGUCACAUAUUGACAAGCCGGGAGAGUUGGGUGUCA